UCCGGCUUGUCGCCGGCGGUCCCUCUAGAGUGCCCAACUGAAUGAUGGCAACUAAAGACGAGGGUUGCGUUCGUUGCGGGACUUAACCCAACAUCUCACGACACGAGCCGACGACAGCCAUGCAGCACCUGUGUGUAGGUCCCGUAAGGGAAGGAAUCCAUCUCUGGAAACCGUCCUACCAUGUCAAACGAUGGUAAGGUUCUGCGCGUUGCUUCGAAUUAAACCACAUGCUCCACCGCUUGUGCAGGCCCCCGUCAAUUUCUUUGAGUUUCAACCUUGCGGUCGUACUUCCCAGGUGGGAUACUUAAUGCUUUCGCUCAGACACACACAGUGUAUCGCGUAUGUCGAGUAUCCAUCGUUUAGGGCGUGGACUAC
rnacentral:misc_RNA from 1 species